AGCUCUAUGCAAUGGGAUUACUUCUUGUCCAAAUGGAGGAACCUGCUCAAUGCCGAACACUUGUGUAUGUGCCCCGGGAUUUGGAGGAUCACAAUGUUCAGAUAUUAACGAAUGUCAGACAGGAACAGAUAACUGCCAACAGAAUUGUAUAAAUACACAUGGAUCCUUUACAUGCUCUUGUGGAUCUGGAUAUAUCAUGAACAGCGAUGGUGCAACAUGUACAGAUAUAAAUGAAUGUCUUGGUGAGAAUGGUGGCUGUAG